GGGGUUGUAGCUCAGUGGUAGAGCACUUGCCUAGCAUGUGUGAGGCCCUGGGUUCCAUCCCCAGCACCA
rnacentral:tRNA from 1 species